ACCCGAGCAGAGCCAAUUUUCUCUGAUGUUUUGUCAGAGCGGUUAAAAAAAGAAAAAAAAAAAGAUGUAAUUCUUUCUCCACAAUCAGGAGCUGUCCUGAUACAAGGAUGGGGUGGCUGGCUAAGUUGCCCGCCCAGGAAUUCGGAGAGAAAAAGAAGAAUGCAACUCACCUGCCACCACCAUCUGGAUUCCCGUUUUGCCUGAAGCUACGCUUUUGAUUUGCCGGGCUGUACUAUACAAUGCGACAUCCUCUCCUGAUGCUGGUCUGUGCAGAAGCCACAGCUCCCAGCCAGCCACGGGAUCUCGGAGGAGUUUGUUUCAAAUAUGAAACUACACAAGGGGAGGCAGCUGCUAUGUUGUAAAAAGCACUCAAGCAGCCCUUUGGAGGGAUUCACAAGAGGAAGAGCUGAGACCGCCUUGCAACAGCCAUGUAAAGGAACCAUCUUGGAGGUGAAUCUUCCAGCUCUAACAAAAGCUUACAUGAUUACAGCCUUGGCCAAUGUCUUGAUCACAACAUCAUGAGGACUCUGAGCUACAGCAACCCAAUUAAGCUGCUCCUUAAUCUCUUACCCACAGAAACUGAGAAAAUAAAUGUUUGGUAUU